rnacentral:rRNA from 1 species
UACUCGAGUGGCGAACGGGUGAGUAACGCGUGGGUGAUCUGCCCUGCACUCUGGGAUAAGCCUGGGAAACUGGGUCUAAUACCGGAUAGGACCAUGCUUUAGUGUGUGUGGUGGAAAGUUUUUUCGGUGUAGGAUGAGCCCGCGGCCUAUCAGCUUGUUGGUGGGGUAAUGGCCUACCAAGGCGGCGACGGGUAGCCGGACCGAGAUGUUGGUCGGCCACAUUGGGACUGAGAUACGGCCCAG